UACGUAGGGGGCAAGCGUUGUCCGGAAUCAUUGGCGGUAAAGCGCGUGUAGGCGGCUCGAUUAGUCCGCUCUGAAAGCCGGGGCUCAACCCCGGGAGGCGGGCGGAUACUGUCGGGCUAGAGUCCGGAAGGGCGAGUGGAAUUCCUGGUGAUAGCGGUGAAAUGCGCAGAUAUCAGGAGGAACACCAAUGGCGAAGGCAGCUCACUGGGACGGUACUGACGC
rnacentral:rRNA from 1 species